UGGGGAAUUUUGCACAAUGGGGGAAACCCUGAUGCAGCGACGCCGCGUGAUUUAGAAGGCCUUCGGGUUGUAAAAAUCUUUUUUAUGGGAUGAAAAUGACAGUACCAUAAGAAUAAGCAUCGGCUAACUCCGUGCCAGCAGCCGCGGUAAUACGGGGGAUGCGAGCGUUAUCCGGAAUUAUUGGGUUUAAAGGGUGCGCAGGUGGCUAAUCAGGUCAGUGGUGAAAAGCUAUGGCUCAACCAUGGUCUUGCCAUUGAAACCGUAUAGCUAGAGAGGAGACGAGGUAGGCGGAAUGUGUGGUGUAGCGGUGAAAUGCAUAGAUAUCACACAGAACUCCGAUUGCGAAGGCAGCUUACCAGGCUUUAUCUGACACUUAGGCACGACAGCGUGGGGAUCAAACAGG
rnacentral:rRNA from 1 species